ensembl:lncRNA
CGGCAGUCGACAAUGGUCCAGGCGUGGGAUUUCUCUCGUGGAAGUAUGCACAUUAUUUUUUCCUUUCUAUUGGUAGGUGGUGUUAGGUUUGUAUUGUUUAUUGCCAUUUAUGCUUAGAAAUAUUUACUCAUAUAUGCUUAGAAGUAUAUAAUCAUUUGUAGAUUGAAAGAAUGUCUCAUCCUAGGAGGUCUGUAACAACUCUGUGUAGCAUGAAGAGGGGAGUGCGUUCACUCCUCUUCAGAGUGUUCUGGCAUAGAUCAUACACCUCCUAGGAGAGGUCGUAUCUUCUCUUGCUGAUAUAUGGUAUAGCAAACAUACGUAUAUCUGUUUGAGUCUAAGAGCCUUUUGUUCAGAUGUACCGCUAGACUCCUGGCACCAGCUUUGGGGAGUCUUCCUGGGGUUACAUCUUGACCCCAUAUACACACACACACACUCAGGGUAUUCUUUGUUCACAUGCAUACCUAUAUAAGAUGUCGUAUGUUAAUGAACCUAUGCAUAUUCAUGAAACCACAAUAAAAGAGCAGUGUUACGGGAGAGCGGAAGAGAGCAACUGGGGUCAAGCGAAGGAACGGCGCCUGUCCAGUUCUCUCCCGUGCACGUGAAACAUAAAGAACUUUGCCUACUUCGUGUCUUGCUUGCUGUGUGAUUACAUUGCCUUCAACGUUCCAGCGAAUAGGUUCAAGCUACAAACCUAUCAUUAAUUGGUCCUUCGACGCCGGAUCCCUGGAGUCGGCAUUCACCGAGGAGAGAACCCUGACGUCAGCGAGACGUGAGAAUUUGUCAUCGGGCCGGUGGAUGAGCUGUCUGUUUUCUCUCCCCGACGAAUGACGAUCGGCGGGAUCCGAGGCUGAUAUUACACACUAAGCAACACCGAGUAAGUUGAGAGAGCGACUAUAUAGCCGCACAACUGGGUUAGGGUCCCGAAAGAGAGGUUUUGGUAAAAUCGCCCAAGGGCCCAAGCGUCCGGUGAGAGUCCGGUUUUGAAAUCGCCCUGGGUUUGUGUCCCGAGCGUCCCUUCACUGGGUUUUGAGUCGCGCGACUGGGUAAGGGUCCCAGAAGAGUGUUGCUGUGUUUGUGUGAAUGACUGCGGAGCAGGCGCGGUCUGUGACACGGUUGUUGUUGUUAUCAUGGGUUCCCGAGCAAGUAAGACUGCCUCACAGGGAGAUGACACAUUCGUGCAAGAAUUCACUCCCGGCAGCGCGAGCCAUUUAUAUUCUCAUAAUUGUCAUGAGCGUAAACUGGUCGCGGAAGAGAUUCAAAUGUUGGAAGUUUUCAGAAAACACAUUAGCCUUGAUGAGCGUACAGAGAAGGCCAGCCCACAUCAGCAGCAGUUAAGUUAUGCUCUGGUGAAUGGCUUUCACCCACCCAUUGCUGAUUUCAUUAGGAAGCAAAAUGUUAAUCAUAACUCUAACGGGUCCUUCACAUGCAUUAACUGCACCCGCUGUGCACAGGAAGGAAUUAAAGACACACAGAAGAAGUCACAAAACUCUGCAGCCGCUGCUUCCCUAGCAGAUAAAAUCAUUUUCCAGGGACAGACUGGAAGAGGGCUGAAUAGGGGCAGGAAUAAGAGAGGUGAAGGCCCGCGGGGAUUUAGGUGGGAACGCGACAGAAGGAAGGAGAAAUGCUAUGCAUGUAGAGAAAGGGGUCACUAUGCUAGAGAGUGUCCUAAGCGCAAGCCUGAGUAACCCCACCUGUGAUAAAUGAUUAGUACCCGUCAAAACUGCCAAUACACACACAUGUUUAGAUUAUUUUUUUAUUUAUUUAUUUUUUAGCUUGCCCUGAUCAACAACAGCCGUACUCCAGACCACAGAUUUGAUUGAGGUGGAUAAGUGUUAAAAGUAAUCUGCAUUAAGCUUAAGGUUGCUCAAAUUCAGUACAAUGACAUAUGAGAUGAAGUACAAUAGGCAAAUAUUCUAACUAAUGAAGUGCAUAGAGGCACUUAACCUGUUUGUAAGACUGUCGUCUUAUUAUGAGCCAUUGUUGAGAUAUAGAGCACACCUGUGAAAACAACUAUUAUGCUGAACCCUGUGUGAAACAGCUGAAAACUACAUGAUGGAGAAGCUGAGUUGAAUAUGAAAAUGCAAGUCUUUGCCACUGUGGGCAAAGCACGCAACCACUGUGUGAGGUUGUGUUGCGGUCUCUUCUGAGCUGAUGAGCAAGCUACACAUUAUCAGAUCGGGAGCUGGCUGAGAACUCAUCAAAGAAAGGGGAAGAGAACUAUGAUAACUCGAGUAUGUAGCGUAUCCGUGAGUUCAGCUUCUUCUUUCAGAUGCGCAGCAGUUUUCCUGGAUCUUGACUCGUGUGUAGAGUGUUCAUAGCAUCAGCAUCAUGUUUUUGUUUAUUUGCUUUGUUGGGUUGAAAAAUAAUUAAAUAAACUUGUGAUCAUACUUAUGGAUCACCAUGGCACAUAUCAUCAGCCAUAUGUUUUAUUUAUGCAGAUGAAAAAAGUGAGUGUGAAUGUGCCUGACGUCGCAGUGUGUGUGUGCGUUGUGUAAACGUAAUUGUCUCCAAUUGUGAGAGUGGUGAUUCUGCAGGUCACCAGCUAGUGUAAAGAAAAAAAAAGAGUAAAACAGAGACAAAAUCUAUAUUGUAGAUGGAAAAAUAAUAGGAAACAGGUUUUGUGUUUAUUAGCCAAGAACAACUACAAUCUCAUUUUCUGCUUUUAAGAAAGGAGAGAUGUGUGUUGGUUAAGCAGUGAUAAUAAUAAUGAAAAUGUCUUAGUUUUGUCACUUUCAGAUGAAAAGCAGAUCUGGAUCAGUUUUCCCCAUGCAGCAGUCGGAAUAAAGUUAUAGUUUAACAUCAUUGGAAACAUUCAGGCCAAGGUUCUGGCUAACUUAUUUACAGCACCAUGUGUCCCUCAUCCUCACAAGCGAGCUCUCACUCCUCCCUGAAGACAAGGAAUGCAGUUCCAAAGAGCAAUAACAUGGCAGAUAAAGAGACAGCAGCAAAGUCCUGAGCAAAGAGACCCAGCAAGCAGCAGCAGUGUGGACAAACAGCAGUGGAGAAGAAGAGCAAACCAUCAUCCUGACUGAUUGGAUGAAUGACACUGUGUUUCCAACAAGCUGCAAAGUCACUGUGCUUGUGAAAAGAACGUUUGAGGAGAACUGAGGAGACUGUUGGGGUUUGACAUUUGCCACUUUCGGAGUAAAAUGGCAAGAAGAGACAGUGGAACACAUGACAAAGCUGAAGGAGAACUGCCGGCUGUUGGACUGUUGAAGUGGGAGAGGACAACAGAGUGAGAGGAGCAAGGAAAUACAGGUGCAGCAGUCAGAGUAUUGCUGAAAGGAAUCUCCUGAGAAAUCUUCAGAGGCCCAGUGAGAAGCAAGAACCAUUCCAGGCAUAACUGCGCCCAGGCAGUGGUUGAGGUCAAAGGUCGAGCUGUUUGGGGCCCAUUGGGAGAUCAGAUUCCACAACCACAGCAAGGACCACGAAGCUGCGUUGGAAUGAGAGCUGUGCCAAGGGGGCUUUCCAGAGGCCAACAGAGGAGAUCGUGGACGACAGACGGGCACCUGAAGGAUGAGGGGAGCAUGCCAAGCUCCACCGACAGAGCAGGGGGAGUUCAAGGAUGGCAUCAUGAUUCUGUGAGAAGCACAGGAACCAGAAGCUAUGGUGGUGAUGACAGCAGUUUCCUAUGAACAUCACCUAAUGCUGUGUCACUGUACUAUGCACACGAUGGCACUCUGAAGACUGCUGGAAUCAUAACAGCAGUAAGAUAACGGGAUCCAGCACCCUUUCCACAGAGGGUUUUCCUGCAGAGGAUGGACAAUGGAGGAGUCAUAUGUAUCCCCCACAGGACAGAGGCCUGAAGUGAGGUGAUGGGGGUUGGCAGAGAGGCCAUAAAACUAGAGUGCUGAAGAGGUCUGCAGCUUUCACGAUAGCUGAGACCCAUGUUAACAAACAAUAAACUCAACUGGUAUGUUUGAAUGUCUAUUCUACAUACAUUUGGACUCUGGUCCUAUGAACAGUGAUGGAAACAACUGGAAGAGACAUUUAUGACGCCCUGCAGAACUUAAACCACCCUGUAGAGAGACGUGUGAUUUACAUGUCUUGCAGAGGAGCACCACCAAGCUGGAGUGAUCUUGAAAAUGUUAAUUUCUCUUUUGACCAUUAACGAUUCAUUUGUUUGCUCGUAGGAUGCAGUUUACCAUUGAAUGAGAUUAAUGAGAACUUGGAUAACUGCUAAUAUAUUUGUCAGACUGUGUACGUUUACAUAUGCUGAGUAUGAAAAUGGUUGCAUUGACACUGUCAGACAUGACGUGAUCAUAACUGGGGACUUUUCUAGCAUAAUUGUCAAAAGGGGGGAAAUGUUAGGUUUGUAUUGUUUAUUGCCAUUUAUGCUUAGAAAUAUUUACUCAUAUAUGCUUAGAAGUAUAUAAUCAUUUGUAGAUUGAAAGAAUGUCUCAUCCUAGGAGGUCUGUAACAACUCUGUGUAGCAUGAAGAGGGGAGUGCGUUCACUCCUCUUCAGAGUGUUCUGGCAUAGAUCAUACACCUCCUAGGAGAGGUCGUAUCUUCUCUUGCUGAUAUAUGGUAUAGCAAACAUACGUAUAUCUGUUUGAGUCUAAGAGCCUUUUGUUCAGAUGUACCGCUAGACUCCUGGCACCAGCUUUGGGGAGUCUUCCUGGGGUUACAUCUUGACCCCAUAUACACACACACACACUCAGGGUAUUCUUUGUUCACAUGCAUACCUAUAUAAGAUGUCGUAUGUUAAUGAACCUAUGCAUAUUCAUGAAACCACAAUAAAAGAGCAGUGUUACGGGAGAGCGGAAGAGAGCAACUGGGGUCAAGCGAAGGAACGGCGCCUGUCCAGUUCUCUCCCGUGCACGUGAAACAUAAAGAACUUUGCCUACUUCGUGUCUUGCUUGCUGUGUGAUUACAUUGCCUUCAACGUUCCAGCGAAUAGGUUCAAGCUACAAACCUAUCA